UAAAAUCUCUUCUUCAACCUCACCACACGCGCCCCCCCGAGAAAACCUAGGCCGUCGACGACAACUCAGUUUUUUCGUCGAACCCGAUGCCGAUGAGCAGUUGACGAUUCGAAGCCCUCAGUGAGCUGGCUGGUCAGAGCAGACGCCUCGUCCGCUGCGUUUCCGCGAGAGCCCAGAUCCGAAGGCGUCCGCUGUGUUCCGUCAAGAGCCGCUCGCCCAAUUUCUCCAGCUCGUCUAGCCGAGCUCCUUUGCGCGUCGCUUGUCCGGUCGGUCUUCUCUUUCGUUUGCCUAGCACCGAUCGUACGCGAGCACUGCUUCAAACCGCGUCCACCACCCCAGGUUUUUCGCCACCAGUUGUCAUCACCCUACCGUGUCAGGUCUAUCUUGGUCUUCGUCAGAUCUGUUGGGGUAAUAUUGUGUCGGUUUGUUUCGUUCUCUCGGCCAUUAAUAUUGUGUUUCAGUGUUAUGACUCGCCUUUGCGGGGUUUUGUUUCAAGCUAAAGUCGUCAAGGAGUUUGGAAGUCAAAGGAGGCACCGUCGAGGAAGGUGGAAGUGAUUUUUAUUCUGUGAGAUCGCUACUUGAUUUGCCGUUAUAGUUUGGUGGUCUAAUUUUUAUCUGUGGAGUAUCUACUCAAAGAUUCACCAGUUUGUGCUUCCUUCAGGAUUCACCAGUUUGUGCUUCCUUCGGGAUUCACCAGUUUUGUGGUUCCUUUGGGUUUCACCAGUUUGUGGUUCCUUCGAAAUUCACCAGUUUUGUGUUACCUUCAGGAUUCAACAGUUUUGUGUUUCUUUCGGGAGUCACCAGUUUUGUGGGCAUACUUAACUACAAUAGGAUAGGACUCAGUCUCUUGUCUGUUACAUGUAUUUAU